rnacentral:rRNA from 1 species
AACAACAUUGAAAUCAUUCAAAGUACCAGUUCUCGUCUGAUCGCUGAAGUCAAGCAACAUUGAGCACGGUUAGUACUUGAAUGAUCGCUUGGGAAUACCGUGUGAUGUUGUCU